GUGGGGGAUGACGUGGCAGGGUAGCCCGCUCGUGCUGUGCUGACGUGAGGGCUGCGGCUUGACUGUUCCCUUUUCCUAUCCCCAUUCGUACUCCCCGACACGUGAAAGUCAUAUACUAGACUGGAUCUUCUAUUUUCCUCCUGUCAAGAGCCCCGCACCGAGAAAACGGAGCCGUCUCGUUCCCCGUUAUCGCUCCGUUCUGUUCUUCCCCUACUACGCUCCAACCUUCUCGUCUGACGUACAGCAAUACGGAACCUGAAGAGCUGGAUAUGGCAGGGGAAGCUUAAUCUGUGCGGCAAGAAGAUCGAUUUAGGUCGAGACAAUCGAUUUGGGAAGAGAGAAACUUCAUAUUCUGACAAGAAGCGGUAGUAGCGAGCUCGAACUCGGUGGCGGCGAGCUAACUAUGAUAGAGGAUCCUCGUUUCGAGCUGCUUGAUCUUGAUUUUGGAUGGUCAGGAUCUCUAUUCUUGCUUUCUAUUUUCGAUUUGGGUGACCAGCAACUCGAUUCUUGCUCGGGGGUCUCGAUCUGGCAAGGGGGGAGUUCGAUUUUGGUGUUUUCUCUUCAGUUGCGUCGAGCCAAAGUCACUGCAGCAGGACAAGUGUAACACUUCUAGGACCUCUUCUUACAGCGGUGCGUGUGGCAGCGAGACUGAGUGUUGAUCAUGAAGAAAUCUGAUGAGGAUGUUGCAGUGUCCGAGCGUGAUGAUGCUUUAUACUUAUGAAAGUAAUGGCAUCGGCACACCCAUGUAGUUAGUCCGGUGAGGCGUAGGGAGAUUUGGUUGAGAAGCCAUUGUUGUUUGUCGUUGAGGAAGAUGCCAAUUUAUGAUCUAUAUUUGUUGUAAUUGGCGCCACUUUUUAGGUAGCUCUUUUUCCCUCCA